UGAGGUCAUUUAUUGUGAGGUUUAGAGAUAGAAUUAACUCAAAUUCAAAAAUCACUACUUGUCUCCCUCAUUUUCUAAGAGCCAAAUUCCCCUUAAAUUCAAUUGAUUUUACCCUAUUAUUUUGUUGUCUCUACAACCAAACACAGUCGAAGGGUGUUUCUUCUGCUUGUUCUAUUUUGGUCUUACAGAAACUUUUUAACCUAACUCAGUGAGUGUUUUAGUCUACCACGUUAAUAUGGAUCCAGAGGCUUCUAGGAAUGCUCGACAAUCCUUGGAACUAGCUUUUCAAAUGUCAAACAUUCUAGAAACAGGAUUGGAUCGCCACACACUUUCAGUCCUCGUUGCUCUUUGUGAAAAGGGCUUGAAUCCCGAGUCACUUGCUGCACUUGUCAAGGAGCUCAGAAGGGAACCACAAACUAACUCUACUACAACAUCUGCGGCUCCUACUUUUCCCUGAUCAGGUGAUUGUGAGCCAAGUCAAAAAGCUGUCAUAUUGGAAUAGUCUAUUUGCGUUCAGCCUCGUGAUAAUUUAUCACUGGAGAUAAGAUUUCGUAGAAUUUCAUUGUAUUUUAGAAGUAGGUCAUUGAUAUCGUUAGUAGCUUAUGAAUUCUAUUAUGUGAUGUGAAUCUGGUAUGCUUAAAGUUAGUCUUGUUUAUAUGAACUAGAUUUUGUGCCCGUGCUACGCACCGGGCGGACUCGAAACUAUCCAUUGUUCUUUUUUUAACCA